UGGGGAAUUUUGCACAAUGGACGAAAGUCUGAUGCAGCAAUGCCGCGUGGAGGAUGAAGGUCUUUGGAUUGUAAACUUCUGUUAAUUAAAAAGAAAUGGCAAAGGGUAAUAUACUUUGCAGAUGACGUUAUUAAUUUAGAAAGCCCCGGCUAACUUCGUGCCAGCAGCCGCGGUAAUACGAAGGGGGCGAGCGUUAUUCGGAAUGAUUGGGUGUAAAGGGCGUGUAGGCGGUAAUGUAAGUUUUUUGUUUAAUUCUUUGGCCUAACCAAAGGUAUGCGGAAAAUACUAUUUUACUAGAGUAUAAUAGAGGAAGAUGGAAUUCUCGGAGUAGCGGUUAAAUGCGUAGAUCUCGAGAGGAACGCUAAUGGCGAAGGCAGUCUUCUGGGUUAUAACUGACGCU
rnacentral:rRNA from 1 species